UACAGAGGGUGCGAGCGUUGUCCGGAAUCACUGGGCGUAAAGGGCGCGUAGGUGGCGCUCCAAGUCUGUGGUGAAAGCUCGACGCUCAACGUCGAGUCGGCCAUAGAGACUGGAGGGCUCGAGCACUGUAGGGGCAGAUGGAAUUCCGGGUGUAGCGGUGGAAUGCGUAGAGAUCCGGAAGAACACCGGUGGCGAAGGCGGUCUGCUGGGCAGUUGCUGCACUGAGGCGCGACAGCGUGGGGAGCAAACAGGAUUAGAAACCCU
rnacentral:rRNA from 1 species